rnacentral:rRNA from 1 species
CGUUGUAAUCUAGAGAAGUGUUAUCCGCGCUGGACCGUGCCAAGUCUCCUGGAAUGGAGCGUCAUAGAGGGUGAGAAUCCCGUCUUUGACACGGACUGCCAGGGCUUUGUGAUGCGCUMUCAAAGAGUCGAGUUGUUUGGGAAYGCAGCUCAAAAUGGGUGGUAAAUUCCAUCUAAAGCUAAAUAUUGGCGAGAGACCGAUAGCGAACAAGUMCCGUGAGGGAAAGAUGAAAAGAACUUUGGAAAGAGAGUUAAACAGUACGUGAAAUUGCUGAAAGGGAAACGCUUGAAGUCAGUCGCGUUGUCCGGGGAUCAACCUUGCUUUUGCUGGGCGUAUUCUCCGGUUGACGGGCCAGCAUCAAUUUUGGCCACUGGAAAAAGGCCAGGGGAAUGUGGCAUCUUCGGAUGUGUUAUAGCCCUUGGUUGCAUACAGUGGCUGGGAUUGAGGAACUCAGCACGCCGCAAGGCCGG